CGCACACGUACACCUAAAGCUAAUUCCAAAAGGUCUGAAAAUUGUCACCUUCCAUUAAGAAGCUUGUAUUUUUAAAAUUAAAGUCAGUAUCUUUUGAAUAUUCUGGGAAGAAAUGGUAGGGUUAUGGCAUAGGAAGAAGCAUGAGUAGAGCUGAGCAAUUAUGGUAUAAAGAGAGCCUGAGUAGAGGGAGCUUUAGUACAUUUAUAACAUAGAGGUCACUUGAAUAGCUCAGUAGGAUAGGCGGUGUCUAGAAAGGAUGGACCAAUGGUAUCAAGGUAGCUUACGGACCUCUCAGAAUCUUAUGUCUUGUUUCAGUCUGGUCUGAGAUCUUAUUGCUCUUGUCGCCAUCCAAGGAUUUGCUGUGUUGGGUACAUUGAGUCAAGGUUUACAAUUGCCGAAAUACAGAAUAAAUUCCUCGCAUUAGCUGUUGAAUACUCGGGACACUUCAUCCUUCAAAUGCUCCAUGCUUCCUUAAAAUCGCCAACACUAUUUCUGAUAAUGAAUUGGUCUCUCCUUCCUACGUCCAAGUUCUAUUGAAUGUCCUUAUGCACUACAGUUCUGGUAGCUCACUCUGACACCUGAAGUUCUUUGAUGAUGGCCUUCAUUGAUUUCCCAGGAUCAUUAUCAUAAUGUUUUGAACUCACUGGAUGAAUUGUGUAUGUUCAUAUAGCAUCUGAACAUUUAGAAUGGUUUUAUUCUCUUUGAUACAAUGGAAACAUUCCCUUCAGACGCUUCUAAUUCCAUCCAGACUUUUGUAUACAAAAGAUCUUGCAGCAUUUAGAAAGUUGACAAGUUUUAAAUCACUGUGUUCCACAUGUGUGGCAACAAUGACUGCAUCUCUUUUCAUUUCUUGUGCUAGCAUUUUAUCUGCCAAGAGAUAUCUAAAAAAAAAAAAAGCCCCCCAAAAAACAACAACCUUUGAAGAGAGUAAUGGAGGGGAGAAAAAUGGGUUAUUUGCAAUGCCGCACUCAACCCAAGCUUUAGGCUAUCUGCACUGUCAGAUUCUAAUCUUAACUAAUAUUGAAAUUCUUCAGGUGCAGCAAAUCCAGGUGUCAUGACAGUAAAACCAUUGUGUACAUAAGCACACAACUAUCUUUCCCCUACCAUCAUACAUCUCUUACCCUCCCCAAGCACUACACCUGCAUCUCCCACCCUGCAACUUAUCUAACAUCAUCCUUCUCUCCAUCUUUCUUCUGUCUAUUUUUCCAUCAUUACUUUGCUGCUGCUCAGCACUAUUACUCAUUUGCCACUCUCCACCACCAUCAAUCUCUGUGUCCAUUCAAUCACUCAUCUCCCACUCUCCCCCACCAUCAUUCUCUAUCCAUUCACUCACUCAUCUCCCACUUUCCCCCACCAUCAAUCUCUGAGCCCAUUCAAUCACUCAUCUCUCACUCUCCCCCACCAUCAAUCUCUGAGCCCAUUCACUCACUCAUCUCCCACUUUCCCCCACAAUCAAUCUCUGCAUCCAUUCACUCACUCAUCUCCCACUUUCCCCCACCAUCAAUCUCUGAGCCCAUUCAAUCACUCAUCUCCCACUCUCCCCCACCAUCAAACUCUGAG